rnacentral:rRNA from 1 species
UACGUAGGGUGCAAGCGUUGUCCGGAAUUAUUGGGCGUAAAGAGCUCGUAGGCGGUCUGUCACGUCGGCUGUGAAAACCCGAGGCUCAACCUCGGGCCUGCAGUUGAUACGGGCAAACUAGAGUACUGCAGGGGAGACUGGAAUUCCUGGUGUAGCGGUGAAAUGCGCAGAUAUCAGGAGGAACACCGGUGGCGAAGGCGGGUCUCUGGGCAGUAACUGACGCUGAGGAGCGAAAGCGUGGGGAGCGAACAGG